rnacentral:misc_RNA from 1 species
GUGGCGCCCCCACUCGCGGAGGAGCGUCGUAGGCUGAAGCGCCGCCGGCACCCGACGACAACUGCUACGGCCGCUGCCGCUUCUGCUGCCGCUUCUGCUGCUGCUUCUGCUACUCUUCCAGCUCCCCCGUGAGAGCCGAGACUGAAGCAGCUGCCCCCCGAGACUUUCAAUAUGACCGAUACGUUUUGAAAGAUUGAUGGUCAUCGUCCGGUGGACAUAAUACGCAGAUUAAAGUGGUGAGCCGGAGGUGACAACCACCACCACCACAUAUAGCGUAGAUUACGGCCCCCAAACCACGAACGGCCACCUCCAGGACUCACCGGACACUUCCCGCCUCUCUGUGUCCACUGCUAGCCAAGACGGCACGCAGCUGGUGUCGAGGAAACAGACUCAUCACACCACACAGCAGAUAACGACUACGACAAAAGUCAUUCGGGAGCUCCAUCAUAUUGGUCCAGACGGUAAGGUGGUGGAGUACCCAGCUGGAGAAUACAACCCCUACAACCAAGCUCCCUCACAACCCGGCUAUGCCAUGGAUCCCUACCGCCCUCACUCCCCGGCCAGUGAAGCUGGUAAGGGACGGGAUUUCUUUGGUAUGUUGAGGAUU